rnacentral:tRNA from 1 species
GACACGGUGGUGCAGUGGGCAGCACUGUCGUCUCACGGCAAGAAGGUUGUCCUGGGUUCGAAUCUCGGCCUGGCCC